rnacentral:RNase_P_RNA from 1 species
UAAGCAGGUCUCCUUAUCGCUGCCGUGAAAACGGGAGAGGAAAGUCCGGACACCAUAGUGCAGCAUAGCGGGUAACGCCCGUCGUCCGUUUAACGGAAAGGACAAGUGCAGCAGAAAGUAUGUACAGGUAAUGCUGUAGUGAAACCAGGUAAACUCUAUGCGGUGAAACGUCAUGUAAAUCGGUGCUUGAGGGCUGUACGCUCGAGCCGAAGGGUAGGCGGUUUGAUAUUAACAGUAAUGUUAGUCCUAGAUAAAUGAUAGGGGAGUCCUUAGGGGCUUAACAGAAUCCGGCUUAUGGGCCUGCUUUAUUU